rnacentral:rRNA from 1 species
UGCAGUCGACGGCAGCACGGGCUUCGGCCUGGUGGCGAGUGGCGAACGGGUGAGUAAUACAUCGGAACAUGUCCUGUAGUGGGGGAUAGCCCGGCGAAAGCCGGAUUAAUACCGCAUACGAUCUGAGGAUGAAAGCGGGGGACCUUCGGGCCUCGCGCUAUAGGGUUGGCCGAUGGCUGAUUAGCUAGUUGGUGGGGUAAAGGCCUACCAAGGCGACGAUCAGUAGCUGGUCUGAGAGGACGACCAGCCACACUGGGACUGAGACACGGCCCAGACUCCUACGGGAGGCAGCAGUGGGGAAUUUUGGACAAUGGGCGCAAGCCUGAUCCAGCAAUGCCGCGUGUGUGAAGAAGGCCUUCGGGUUGUAAAGCACUUUUGUCCGGAAAGAAAUCAUUCUGGCUAAUACCCGGAGUGGAUGACGGUACCGGAAGAAUAAGCACCGGCUAACUACGUGCCAGCAGCCGCGGUAAUACGUAGGGUGCGAGCGUUAAUCGGAAUUACUGGGCGUAAAGCGUGCGCAGGCGGUUUGCUAAGACCGAUGUGAAAUCCCCGGGCUCAACCUGGGAACUGCAUUGGUGACUGGCAGGCUAGAGUAUGGCAGAGGGGGGUAGAAUUCCACGUGUAGCAGUGAAAUGCGUAGAGAUGUGGAGGAAUACCGAUGGCGAAGGCAGCCCCCUGGGCCAAUACUGACGCUCAUGCACGAAAGCGUGGGGGAGCAAACAGGAUUAGAUACCCUGGUAGUCCACGCCCUAAACGAUGUCAACUAGUUGUUGGGGGAUUCAUUUUCCUUAGUAACGUAGCUAACGCGGUGAAGUUGACCGCCUGGGGGGAGUACGGUUCGCAAGAUUAAAUACUUCAAGAGAGAGAAGA